CAGCCGCCGCGGUAAUGCGUAGGUGGCAAGCGUUGUCCGGAAUUAUUGGGCGUAAAGGGCUCGCAGGCGGUUUCUUAAGUCUGAUGUGAAAGCCCCCGGCUCAACUGGGGAGGGUCAUUGGAAACUGGGAAACUUGAGUGCAGAAGAGGAGAGUGGAAUUCCACGUGUAGCGGUGAAAUGCGUAGAGAUGUGGAGGAACACCGGUGGCGAAGGCGACUCUCUGGUCUGUAACUGACGCUGAGGAGCGAAAGCGUGGGGAGCGAACAGGAUUAGAUACCCCCGUAGUCCCUGUCUCUUAUAC
rnacentral:rRNA from 1 species